rnacentral:tRNA from 2 species
GCUGUUGUAGCUCAGUUGGUAGAGCAACUGAUUCGUAAUCAGUAGGUCGGUGGUUCGAAUCCACUCAACAGCACCA